GAGGCCUUGGCUUAAUUAAAGUGUUUGAGUUGCAAUCAGAAAAUGUAUUAUUUAUACAGGCCUU
rnacentral:tRNA from 1 species